GACGAACGCUGGCGGCGUGCCUAAUACAUGCGAGUCGAGCGAAGUUUUUCUGGUGCUUGCACUAGAAAAACUUAGCGGCGAACGGGUGAGUAACACGUAAAGAACCUGCCUCAUAGACUGGGACAACUAUUGGAAACGAUAGCUAAUACCGGAUAACAGUAUUUCUCGCAUGAGAGAUAUUUAAAAGUUGGUUAUGCUAACACUAUGAGAUGGCUUUGCGGUGCAUUAGCUAGUUGGUGGGGUAAAGGCCCACCAAGGCGACGAUGCAUAGCCGACCUGAGAGGGGGAUCGGCCACACUGGGACUGAGACACGGCCCAGACUCCUACGGGAGGCAGCAGUAGGGAAUCUUCCGCAAUGGGCGAAAGCCUGACGGAGCAACGCCGCGUGAGUGAAGAAGGAUUUCGGUUCGUAAAGCUCUGUUGUUAGGGAAGAAUGGAUAUGUAGUAACUAUACAUGUAAGAGACGGUACCUAACCAGAAAGCCACGGCUAACUACGUG
rnacentral:rRNA from 1 species